rnacentral:rRNA from 1 species
UACGUAGGGUGCGAGCGUUAAUCGGAAUACUGGGCGUAAAGCGUGCGCAGGCGGUGAUGUAAGACCGAUGUGAAAUCCCCGGGCUUAACCUGGGAACUGCAUUGGUGACUGCAUUGCUGGAGUAUGGCAGAGGGGGGUGGAAUUCCACGUGUAGCAGUGAAAUGCGUAGAUAUGGUGGAGGAACACCGAUGGCGAAGGCAGCCCCUGGGUCAAGACUGACGCUCAUGCACGAAAGCGUGGGGAGCAAACAGG